CAAUAGCGUAUAUUAAAGUUGUUGCAGUUAAAAAAGCUCGUAGUCGGAUUUCGGGUCGGGCCGAGCGGUCUGCCGAUGGGUAUGCACUGUUUGGCGCCGGCCCGUUCCUUUUCCGGUCAGGACCCGCGGCUACUCUUAACUGAGCGGGCGUGGGAGACGGAUCGUUUACUUUGAAAAAUUCAGAGUGUUUCUAGCAGGCAGCUCGCUCUUGCAUAGGUUAGCAUGGUUUAAUAGGACUCUGGUGCUAUUUUUGUUGGUUUCGAACACCGGAGUAAUGAUUAAAAGGGGCAGUCAGGGGCACUCGUAUUCCGUCGAGAGAGGUGAAAUUUCUCAGACCAAUGGAGACGAACCACUGCGAAAGCAUUUGCCAGGGAUGUUUUCACUGAUCAAGAACGAAAGUUAGGGGAUCGAAGAUGAUCAGAUAC
rnacentral:rRNA from 1 species